rnacentral:rRNA from 1 species
AUUGAACGCUGGCGGCAGGCCUAACACAUGCAAGUCGAACGAGUGGGGACGGGUGAGUAACACGUGGGUAACCUCUCAUCAGAGGGGAUAACACGUGGAAACAGGUGCUAAACCGAAAAUGAUGGAUGAACCCGCGUUGCAUUAGCUAGUUGGGGAGGUAACGGCUCACCAAGGCCACGACGCAUAGCCGACCUGAGAGGGUGCUCGGCCGACCUUGCACUUCUGCACGGCCUAGACUCCUUCGAGAAGCACGAGUAGGGAAUCUUCUGCAAUUGACGAAAGUCUGACCGGGCAACGCCGCGUGAGUGAAGCAGGUUUUCGGAUCGUAAAGCUCUGUUGUUAGAGAAGCAGUAUCUAACCAUAAAGCCACGGCUAACUCCGUGCGAGCAGCGGCGGUAAUC